UACGAACCGUGCGAACGUUAUUCGGAAUCACUGGGCUUAAAGCGCGUGUAGGCGGGAGGGCACGUCCGUCGCUGAAAUCCCCCGGCUCAACCGGGGAACGGGCGCGGAUACGACCUUCCUGGAGGGGCGUAGGGGGACCUGGAACUUCCGGUGGAGCGGUGAAAUGCGUUGAGAUCGGAAGGAACGCCCGUGGCGAAAGCGAGGUCCUGGACGCCUACUGACGCUGAGACGCGAAAGCCAGGGGAGCGAACGGG
rnacentral:rRNA from 1 species